rnacentral:tRNA from 2 species
CGGGGCGUGGCGUAGCUUGGUAGCGCACUGGUAUGGGGUACCAGAGGUCGUUGGUUCAAAUCCAAUCGCCCCGACCA